GUUUGAUCAUGGCUCAGGACGAACGCUAGCGGCGUGCCUAAGGUAUGCAAGUCGAACGGACCCGCAUGGGUUAGUGGCGAACGGUUGAGUAACACGUAGACAACCUGCCUCGAAGUGGGGGACAACAGCGGGAAACUGCUGCUAAUACCGCAUGUGGCCCUGUUCCGCCUGGGACGGUGGCUAAAGGCGCAAGUCGCUUCGAGAUGGGUCUGCGGCCUAUCUGUUUGUUGGUGGGGUAACGGCCUACCAAGACGACCACGGGUAGCUGGUCUGAGAGGAUGAUCAGCCAGACGGGGACUGAGACACGGCCCCGACUCCUUCGGGAGGCAGCAAUGAGGAAUAUUGCGCAAUGGGCGAAAGCCUGACGCAGCGACGCCGCGUGGGUGAGGAAGUUCUUCGGAAUGUAAAGCCCUUUUGUCGGGGACGAUCACAGACGGUACCCGCAGAAUAAGCCCCGGCUAACUUCGUGCCAGCAGCCGCGGUAAGACGAAGGGGGCUAGCGUUGUUCGGAAUUACUGGGCGUAAAGGGCGCGCAGGCGGCUUUGCAAGUCAGGCGUUAAAGACCCAGGCUCAACCUGGGGAAUGCGCUUGAUACUGCGGAGCCUGAGAUCGGAAGAGGAGAGUGGAAUUCCCAGUGUAGAGGUGAAAUUCGUAGAUAUUGGGAAGAACACCAGUGGCGAACGCGGCUCUCUGGUCCGAUUCUGACGCUGAGGCGCGAAAGCGUGGGGAGCAAACAGGAUUAGAUACCCUGGUAGUCCACGCCGUAAACGAUGUGUGCUGGACGUUGGAAGGCCUAGCCUUUCGGUGUCGUAUCUAACGCGUUAAGCACACCGCCUGGGGAGUACUGGCCGCAAGGUUAAACUCAUAUGAAUUGACGG
rnacentral:rRNA from 1 species